GAUGAACGCUGGCGGCAUGCCUAAUACAUGCAAGUCGAACGAGAGGAAGGAAAGCUUGCUUUUCUGAAUCUAGUGGCGAACGGGUGAGUAACACGUAGGUAACCUGCCCAUGUGCCCGGGAUAACUUCUGGAAACGGAUGCUAAAACCGGAUAGGCAGCAGACAAGCAUUUGACUGCUAUUAAAGUGGCUAAGGCCAUGAACAUGGAUGGACCUGCGGUGCAUUAGCUAGUUGGUGAGGUAACGGCCAACCAAGGCGACGAUGCAUAGCCGGCCUGAGAGGGCGGACGGCCACAUUGGGACUGAGACACGGCCCAAACUCCUACGGGAGGCAGCAGUAGGGAAUUUUCGUCAAUGGGGGGAACCCUGAACGAGCAAUGCCGCGUGAGUGAGGAAGGUCUUCGGAUCGUAAAGCUCUGUUGUAAGAGAAAAACGACAUUCAUAGGGAAUGAUGAGUGAGUGAUGGUAUCUUACCAGAAAGUCACGGCUAACUACGUGCCAGCCGCCGCGGUAAUAC
rnacentral:rRNA from 1 species